GAAAGUCUGACGGAGCAACGCCACGUGAACGAAGAAGGUCUUCGGAUUGUAAAGUUCUGUGAUUCGGGACGAAAGGGUUUGUGGUGAAUAAUCAUAGACAUUGACGGUACCGAAAAAGCAAGCCACGGCUAACUACGUGCCAGCAGCCGCGGUAAUACGUAGGUGGCAAGCGUUGUCCGGAAUUAUUGGGCGUAAAGCGCGCGCAGGCGGUUUCUUAAGUCCAUCUUAAAAGCGUGGGGCUCAACCCCAUGAGGGGAUGGAAACUGGGAAGCUGGAGUAUCGGAGAGGAAAGUGGAAUUCCUAGUGUAGCGGUGAAAUGCGUAAGAUUAGGAAGAACACCGGUGGCGAAGGCGACUUUCUAGACGAAAACUGACGCUGAGGCGCGAAAGCGUGGGGAGCACAGGAUUAGAUACCCUGGUAGUCCACGCCGUAGACGAUGGAUACUAGGUGUAGGAGGUAUCGACCCUCCUGUGC
rnacentral:rRNA from 1 species